CGUACACUCCUGCGGGAGGCAGCAGUGGGGAAUAUUGGACAAUGGGCGCAAGCCUGAUACAGCCAUGCCGCGUGAGUGAUGAAGGCCCUAGGGUUGUAAAGCUCUUUCACCGGUGAAGAUAAUGACGGUAACCGGAGAAGAAGCCCCGGCUAACUUCGUGCCAGCAGCCGCGGUAAUACGAAGGGGGCUAGCGUUGUUCGGAUUUACUGGGCGUAAAGCGCACGUAGGCGGACUAUUAAGUCAGGGGUGAAAUCCCGGGGCUCAACCCCGGAACUGCCUUUGAUACUGGUAGUCUUGAGUUCGAGAGAGGUGAGUGGAAUUCCGAGUGUAGAGGUGAAAUUCGUAGAUAUUCGGAGGAACACCAGUGGCGAAGGCGGCUCACUGGCUCGAUACUGACGCUGAGGUGCGAAAGCGUGGGGAGCAAACAGGAUUAGAUACCCUAGUAGUCCCAUG
rnacentral:rRNA from 1 species